rnacentral:rRNA from 1 species
UGGAACGCGCCCCAGGCGCACCCAGAAACCCUUUGUGAACUUAUACCUUACUGUUGCCUCGGCGCAUGCUGGCCCCCUCGGGGCCCCCUGGAGACAGGGAGCAGGCACGCCGGCGGCCAAGUUAACUCUUGUUUUUACACUGAAACUCUGAGAAAAAACACAAAUGAAUCAAAACUUUCAACAACGGAUCUCUUGGUUCUGGCAUCGAUGAAGAACGCAGCGAAAUGCGAUAAGUAAUGUGAAUUGCAGAAUUCAGUGAAUCAUCGAAUCUUUGAACGCACAUUGCGCCCUCUGGUAUUCCGGAGGGCAUGCCUGUUCGAGCGUCAUUUCAACCCUCAAGCAUUGCUUGGUGUUGGGGCACUGCUUUUAACGAAGCAGGCCCUGAAAUCUAGUGGCGAGCUCGCCAGGACCCCGAGCGCAGUAGUUAAACCCUCGCUCUGGAAGGCCCUGGCGGUGCCCUGCCGUUAAACCCCCAACUUUUGAAAAUUUGACCUCGGAUCAGGUACGAUGGCCGG